rnacentral:rRNA from 1 species
GACGAACGCUGGCGGCGUGCUUAACACAUGCAAGUCGGACGUGAUUUUUGUGGAAAGCCCUUCGGGGACGGAAAUGAAAUGAAAGUGGCGAACGGGUGAGUAACACGUGAGCAACCUACCUUACACAGGGGGAUAGCCGUUGGAAACGACGAUUAAUACCGCAUGAGACCACAGAAUCGCAUGAUAUAGGGGUCAAAGAUUUAUCGGUGUAAGAAGGGCUCGCGUCUGAUUAGCUAGUUGGAAGGGUAAAGGCCUACCAAGGCGACGAUCAGUAGCCGGUCUGAGAGGAUGAACGGCCACAUUGGAACUGAGACACGGUCCAAACUCCUACGGGAGGCAGCAGUGGGGAAUAUUGCACAAUGGGGGGAACCCUGAUGCAGCGACGCCGCGUGAGCGAAGAAGGUUUUCGAAUCGUAAAGCUCUGUCCUAUGAGAAGAUAAUGACGGUAUCAUAGGAGGAAGCCCCGGCUAAAUACGUGCCAGCAGCCGCGGUAAUACGUAUGGGGCGAGCGUUGUCCGGAAUUAUUGGGCGUAAAGGGUACGUAGGCGGUUUUUUAAGUCAGGUGUGAAAGCGUGAGGCUUAACCUCAUUAAGCACUUGAAACUGGAAGACUUGAGUGAAGGAGAGGAAAGUGGAAUUCCUAGUGUAGCGGUGAAAUGCGUAGAUAUUAGGAGGAAUACCGGUGGCGAAGGCGAAUUUCUGGACUUUUACUGACG